CAAAUUUGCUUCAACUGUGUAAAAUGCAUAUACCCUACUCGACUAUUCAAUUUAAUUUUUUCCCACUAGAUUAGCACAAACAUUCACAUGCAAUCCAAUUAUCUGUUAAAACAGGCAUCUCGGGGCGGGGCCAAGCAGCAGAAGCAACCGGUCUCAUGAUAACAGAGCUCCAAGCCUAAGAGCCCUGUAAAACCCACAUUUUACUCAAAAACCGACCUAGACAGAGCAGGUAGGAACCCCUUCGGCUCUAGCGGACACAAUUGGGCGCCUAACGAAAAAAUAACGGUCGGACAACCCCAAAUCGGGACUGACAGUAGGGGAUCUGUGGCGGCAGGCCCAAGGCGCAUAUGGACCCACAAUGGCGUCCCACGCGGGAAACUGCUCCAACUUUUAUGACGACCUGAUUUGCGAAACUGAACUGAGCACUACGCCCGCUUCGAUUCCGCACCUGCCACACCAACCUGCAUUCUCGC